AUGAGCGGUGCCCGGUCCCAGGCGCUUGUGGAGUCCGGAGGGGAUUUGAAAAAGCCCGGAGACUCUCUCCGCCUCUCCUGCAAAGCCUCCGGGUUCACCUUCAGCAGCGCCUACAUGAACUGGGUCCGUCAGGCUCCUGGCAAGGGACUGGAAUGGGUCGCUCGUAUAAACCCCAGUUUGGGUACUGCAUACCUUGAUUCAGUGAAAGGCCGAUUCACCAUCUCCAGGGACAAUUCCAAGAGUGAGCUGUAUCUGCAAAUGACCGGCCUGAAGCCCGAGGACACCGCCCGCUAUUACUGUGCGAGAGACACAGUGACACAGAAACUGAUUGAUGCUCCUGCAAAAACCCAGGCUGCAGAAUCCGCGCGCCACAUGGGGGCAGCAGCGACAUAA